ACGGGGUGCAGCAGGCGCGAAAACUCCACAAUGUACGGAAGUACUAUGGGGUUAUCUCGAGUGCAGUCCGAUAAGGGCUGCUUUUCCAUAGAGUAAUAUCCUGUGGGAAUAAGAGGGGGGCAAGACUGGUGUCAGCCGCCGCGGUAACGCCAGCCCCUCGAGUGGUGGGGACUAUUAUUUGGCCUAAGGCGUCCGUAGCUGGCUGUAUCCGUCUCCCGGUAAAUCCGGCGUCCUAAGCGUCGGCUCUCGGGUGAUACCAUACAGCUAGAGGGUGGGAUAGGUGAGCGGUAUUUCUGGGGUAGGGGCGAAAUCCUUUGAUCCCAUGAGGACCACCAUUGGCGAAGGCUGCUCACUAGAACACGCCUGACGGUCAGGGACGAAAGCUGGGGCAGCGAACCGGAUUAGAUACCCGGGUAGUCCCAGCUGUAAACGAUGCUAGCUAGGUGUUGGGUCGGCCACGCGCCGCCUCACUGCCUCACGGAUGCCGUUAAGCACGCCUUCCGGGAAGUAUUGCCGCCAGGUUGAAACUUA
rnacentral:rRNA from 1 species